rnacentral:sRNA from 1 species
GCUGGGUGUGGUGGUCCAUGCCUGUAAUCCCAGUGUCUCAGGAGGCUGGGGCAGGAGGAUCGAGAGUUCAAAGCCAGACUCAGCAAUGGCGAGGUUCUAAGCAACUCAGUGAGACCCUGUCUCUA